GCCCGCGGCGGCGGCGGCGGGGCUGGGGUGGGGGAGCGGGCGCCCGGGCUCCGAGCCUCCCGCCCCGGGACCUGGGCCCUGUGUCGCGGAGGGACGCGCAGGCGGGGGCUGGGAGCUGGUGGGCCCGGCCGGGUCUCCGCGCCCUGCCUGUG